UUGACCUCGGAUCAGGUAGGAAUACCCGCUGAACUUAAGCAUAUCAAGCUCCCGAAGGAA
rnacentral:rRNA from 1 species